UACGAAGGGGGCUAGCGUUGUUCGGAAUCACUGGGCGUAAAGCGCACGUAGGCGGAUUGUUAAGUCGGGGGUGAAAUCCUGAGGCUCAACCUCAGAACUGCCUUCGAUACUGGCAAUCUCGAGUCCGGAAGAGGUUGGUGGAACAGCUAGUGUAGAGGUGAAAUUCGUAGAUAUUCGCAAGAACACCAGUGGCGAAGGCGGCCAACUGGUCCGGUACUGACGCUGAGGUGCGAAAGCGUGGGGAGCAAACAGG
rnacentral:rRNA from 1 species